rnacentral:rRNA from 1 species
CCCUUAGAUGUCCGGGGCCGCACGCGCGCUACAAUGGAUGAAUCAACGCGUCGUCCUGGCCCGAAAGGGUUGGGGAACCGCUGAACCUCAUCCGUGGUUGGGAUUGGGGUUUGUAAUUAUUCCCCAUGAACUAGGAAUUCCCAGUAAGCGCGAGUCAUAAGCUCGCGCUGAUUACGUCCCUGCCCUUUGUACACACCGCCCGUCGCUACUACCGAUUGGAUGGCUUAGCGAGAAUUUUGGAUCGGAGCCCGGGUGGUCGGCAACGGUCGCCCGGGAGAUCUGAGAAAUCAUUCCAGCUUGGUCAUCUAGAGGAAGUAAAAGUCGUAACA